UUCCGGAGCAAUUAGACAAAUGUAUUUGUCCGGUGGUUUUAUUGCCUUGCUAUUUGCGAGACAGACCUGUAGUAGAGGGACCGCUAUUUUGUCAUUUUGACGGUAAACCAUUGACUAAAUACCAGUUUUCUGCAAUACUCAAAAAGUCACUACAUGCUUUAGGUAUUGAUAAUGCUCGUUGGUCGUCUCACUCUUUCAGAAUAGGUAUGGCUACAGCCUGUGCCAUUGAAGGGUUAUCCGACGAAAAGAUUAAAAGUUUAGGUCGUUGGAAAUCAGGUGCAUAUUUGCGUUACAUACGAA
rnacentral:lncRNA from 1 species